GGGAUUGCCUCAGUAACGGCGAGUGAAGCGGCAACAGCUCAAAUUUGAAAUCUGGCUCCUUCGGGGUCCGAAUUGUAAUUUGUAGAGAGUGCUUCGGGCGAGACCUCGGUCUAAGUCCAUUGGAACAUGGUGUCAUAGAGGGUGAGAAUCCCGUAUGCGACCGUGGCUCGAGCCCAUGUGAAGCCUCUUCGACGAGUCGAGUUGUUUGGGAAUGCAGCUCAAAAUGGGUGGUAAAUUUCAUCUAAAGCUAAAUACUGGCUGGAGACCGAUAGCGCACAAGUAGAGUGAUCGAAAGACGAAAAGCACUUUGGAAAGAGAGUUAAACAGUACGUGAAAUUGUUGAAAGGGAAGCGCUUGCAACCAGACCUGCCCGUAGGCGAUCCGCCGCUGUUCUCAGCGGUGUACUCGCUCUGCGAUCAGGCCAGCAUCGGUUUCGGCGGUCGGAUAAAGGCCUUGGGAAUGUAGCUUCCCUUCGGGGGAGUCUUAUAGCCCUCGGUGCAAUGCGGCCAGCCGGGACCGAGGACCGCGCUUCGGCUAGGAUGCUGGCGUAAUGGUUGUAAGCGACCCGUCUUGAAACACGGACCAAGGAGUCUAACAUCUAUGCGAGUGUUUGGGUGUCAAACCCAUACGCGGAAUGAAAGUGAACGGAGGUGAGAACCCUUAAGGGCGCAUCAUCGACCGAUCCAGAUGUCUUCGGAUGGAUUUGAGUAGGAGCAUAGCUGUUGGGACCCGAAAGAUGGUGAACUAUGCCUGAAUAGGGUGAAGCCAGAGGAAACUCUGGUGGAGGCUCGCAGCGGUUCUGACGUGCAAAUCGAUCGUCAAAUUUGGGUAUAGGGGCGAAAGACUAAUCG
rnacentral:rRNA from 1 species